rnacentral:rRNA from 1 species
AUUGAACGCUGGCGGCAUGCCUUACACAUGCAAGUCGAACGGCAGCACGGGUGCUUGCACCUGGUGGCGAGUGGCGAACGGGUGAGUAAUACAUCGGAACGUACCUUAUCGUGGGGGAUAACGCAGCGAAAGUUGCGCUAAUACCGCAUACGCCCUGAGGGGGAAAGCGGGGGACCGUAAGGCCUCGCGCGAUUAGAGCGGCCGAUGUCUGAUUAGCUUGUUGGUGAGGGAAAAGCUCACCAAGGCGAUGAUCAGUAGCUGGUCUGAGAGGACGAUAAGCCACACUGGGACUGAGACACGGCCCAGACUCCUACGGGAGGCAGCAGUGGGGAAUUUUGGACAAUGGGGGCAACCCUGAUCCAGCAAUGCCGCGUGAGUGAAGAAGGCCUUCGGGUUGUAAAGCUCUUUUGUCAGGGAAGAAACAGCAGCUCUGACACAGUCUGCGAAUGACGGUACCUGAAGAAUAAGCACCGGCUAACUACGUGCCAGCCGCCGCGGUAA